CCUACGGGAGGCAGCAGUGAGGAAUAUUGGUCAAUGGACGAGAGUCUGAACCAGCCAAGUAGCGUGAAGGAUGACUGCCCUAUGGGUUGUAAACUUCUUUUAUAUGGGAAUAAAACGUUCCACGUGUGGGAUUUUGUAUGUACCAUCUGAAUAAGGAUCGGCUAACUCCGUGCCAGCAGCCGCGGUAAUACGGAGGAUCCGAGCGUUAUCCGGAUUUAUUGGGUUUAAAGGGAGCGUAGGUGGAUUGUUAAGUCAGUUGUGAAAGUUUGCGGCUCAACCGUAAAAUUGCAUUUGAAACUGGCAGUCUUGAGUACAGUAGAGGUGGGCGGAAUUCGUGGUGUAGCGGUGAAAUGCUUAGAUAUCACGAAGAACUCCGAUUGCGAAGGCAGUUCACUGGACUGCAACUGACACUGAGGCUCGAAAGUGUGGGUAUCAAACAGGAUUAGAUACCCGUGUAGUC
rnacentral:rRNA from 1 species